UGGGGAAUAUUACACAAUGGGCGCAAGCCUGAUGCAGCCAUGCCGCGUGUAUGAAGAAGGCCUUCGGUUGUGAAAGUACUUUCAGCGAGGAGGAAGGCAUUAAGGUUAAUAACCUUGGUGAUUGACGUUACUCGCAGAAGAAGCACCGGCUAACUCCGUGCCAGCAGCCGCGGUAAUACGGAGGGUGCAAGCGUUAAUCGGAAUUACUGGGCGUAAAGCGCACGCAGGCGGUCUGUCAAGUCGGAUGUGAAAUCCCCGGGCUCAACCUGGGAACUGCAUCCGAAACUGGCAGGCUAGAGUCUUGUAGAGGGGU
rnacentral:rRNA from 1 species